rnacentral:rRNA from 1 species
UACGAAGGGGGCUAGCGUUGUUCGGAAUUACUGGGCGUAAAGCGUAUGCAGGCGGAUCGUUAAGUUGGGGGUGAAAUCCCGAGGCUCGACCUCGGAACUGCCUUCAAUACUGGCGAUCUUGAGUCCGGGAGAGGUGAGUGGAACUCCGAGUGUAGAGGUGAAAUUCGUAGAUAUUCGGAAGAACACCAGUGGCGAAGGCGGCUCACUGGCCCGGUACUGACGCUGAGAUACGAAAGCGUGGGGAGCAAAC